UUUCACUCCUCCAUUCAUGUCUGAAUUAUGGAUAAGUUACAAAUCCGAUGUCAAUACCAUUUAAAGUAGUUUUGAGAAACAUAAUUAACUAACGUUAAGGUUAAUUAACUAUGUUUCCUAUGGUGUUUUGUUUAAAGGCUGAAAGUUUGAACCUUCUUAAUGUCAGUUUGUCAUAUUGUUUUCUCUCUCAGACAACAGAGCAUCCUCCUUAUCUGCAUUGUGUUUGACCAAAACGGCUGGUGACUCUAAAGUGCAAGUUCACACAUCAAUUCAGAUAUUGCUCCUGCCAGUGUUGGUGACUUCUUGGAUAUUUGACAGUGUCCUGCUAUCCAGCAUCUCUCCUCCUCUAUCCCAUUGGCUCUUUGUCUAUCCUAUACCUUGUAUCCACUCUGUCUACAAUUUGAUAACUCUAGCUUUCCUGUCAAAUCUACCGCUCUGUCUGCUUUUGGAAACUCUAUCUUUGUAUCCCUCUUCUAUCCCACUCUAUCUGUAUACAGAAGCCUGAAAACCCUGAUAUUCUGAAACCUGAACCCUGAAACCUGAACCUAAGGUUAUUGCAACCUGUCUGAACAGAACUCUGAGAGUAUCUCCACUCUCCCGCUCUCUGUCUCUCCUCUGAACACUCACUCACCCGGGUUAUUGGUACCUGAUCUACCUUUUUGAAUGAUCUGAGAGAUUCUCUUCUCUCACUCUCACCUCUCUCCUAUCAACUCCUAUAUUUAUACAAUACUAUUACUGUUUUUACUAAUUUGAC
ensembl:lncRNA